UCUUCUUAUGUUUCCCCAUCUGAGCUCAGAGUAGAUGAGAGAUGUAAUGUUUGUCUCUGUUGUGUUGAAGACCAAUCAGGCAGGAGAGACCAGCCUCCCCUGUUCCCAGCUGUGUGUCCAUGAAGAGUGACUGGUCUAUGGAUCGUCCUCUAUACUUUAGAAAGGGAGACUUUUCUACUGAACAAAGGUUUAAGGGCAACAUAGCACGUCUGGUGAACAGGGCAGAGUCCCAUAUCAUCAGGCAAACCAGUAGAAACUGGAUCAGCAGCACAACAAGACCAAUCAAGCAGGAGAGACCAGCCUCCCCUGUUCCCAGCUGUGUGUCCAUGAAGAGUGACUGGUCUAUGGAUCGUCCUAUAUACUUUAGAGAGGGAGACUUUUCUACUGA